rnacentral:rRNA from 1 species
UACGUAGGUGGCGAGCGUUGUCCGGAUUUACUGGGCGUAAAGGGAGCGUAGGCGGACUUUUAAGUGAGAUGUGAAAUACUCGGGCUCAACUUGAGUGCUGCAUUUCAAACUGGAAGUCUAGAGUGCAGGAGAGGAGAAUGGAAUUCCUGGUGUAGCGGUGAAAUGCGUAGGUAUCAGGAGGAACACCGGUGGCGAAGGCGGCCUGCUGGACUGCAACUGACGUUGAGGCCCGAAAGCGUGGGGAGCAAACAGG